UUCACACCAUUAUUCAACUUCAAUUUAAGAAAUAGAUCGAACUUAAUCUAUUAUUAUGAAAUUUGUAUUAUUUUUCACCUUUAUUAUUACUAUUUUAGUAAUAAUUUAUGCAGCUCCAAAUAAAAAACAUUCAAAGAAAAAUCAUUUAAAACGUGAUGGACCGAAUUUUAAUAACACAUCCACUGAAAAUAAUUAUCCCAACAAUAACUCAUGGAAUUACCCUGACAAUGUAUUCAACUAUACAGAUUUCAGGAAUAUUACUGGAAAUGAAUCGUGCAUCAUAAUUUAUCAACCUACUUUGGUGGUGGCUACUGAUAUUGAUUCUGGAAGCGAUGAAAUUAAUCCUCUCUUUAAUGACAUCGAUUUCUUUAAUAAAAAACGUGCUAAGAAUCAUCACAUCAUAAAGAGAAAUUAAAUAAUGUAUAAAAUGAUAGUAUUUAAAAUAAAGUUAUUUUCUUGAGUUAA